AAAUUGAAGAGUUUGAUCAUGGCUCAGAUUGAACGCUGGCGGCAGGCCUAACACAUGCAAGUCGAACGGUAACAGGAAGCAGCUUGCUGCUUUGCUGACGAGUGGCGGACGGGUGAGUAAUGUCUGGGAAACUGCCUGAUGGAGGGGGAUAACUACUGGAAACGGUGGCUAAUACCGCAUAACGUCGCAAGACCAAAGAGGGGGACCUUCGGGCCUCUUGCCAUCAGAUGUGCCCAGAUGGGAUUAGCUUGUUGGUGAGGUAACGGCUCACCAAGGCGACGAUCCCUAGCUGGUCUGAGAGGAUGACCAGCCACACUGGAACUGAGACACGGUUCAGACUCCUACGGGAGGCAGCAGUGGGGAAUAUUGCACAAUGGGCGCAAGCCUGAUGCAGCCAUGCCGCGUGUA
rnacentral:rRNA from 1 species